UACGAAGGUCCCGAGCGUUGUUCGGAAUCACUGGGCGUAAAGGGAGCGUAGGCGGCGUGGUAAGUCAGAUGUGAAAUCCCGGGGCUCAACCCCGGAACUGCAUCCGAUACUGCCGUGCUUGAGUAAUGGAGGGGUAGCUGGAAUUAUCGGUGUAGCAGUGAAAUGCGUGGAGAUCGAUAGGAACACUCGUGGCGAAAGCGAGCUACUGGACAUUAACUGACGCUGAGGCUCGAAGGCCAGGGGAGCAAAAGGG
rnacentral:rRNA from 1 species